GUUGAACGCUGGCGGCAGGCCUAACACAUGCAAGUCGAGCGGAUGAAGGGAGCUUGCUCCUGGAUUCAGCGGCGGACGGGUGAGUAAUUCCUAGGAAUCUGCCUGGUAGUGGGGGAUAACGUCCGGAAACGGGCGCUAAUACCGCAUACGUCCUGAGGGAGAAAGUGGGGGAUCUUCGGACCUCACGCUAUUAGAUGAGCCUAGGUCGGAUUAGCUAGUUGGUGGGGUAAAGGCUUACCAAGGCGACGAUCCGUAACUGGUCUGAGAGGAUGAUCAGUCACACUGGAACUGAGACACGGUCCAGACUCCUACGGGAGGCAGCAGUGGGGAAUAUUGGACAAUGGGCGAAAGCCUGAUCCAGCAAUGCCGCGUGUGUGAAGAAGGUCUUCGGAUUGUAAGGCACUUUAAGUUGGGAGGAAGAGAAGUAAGUUAAUACCUGGCUGUUUUGACGUUACCAAAAGAAUAAGCACCGGCUAACUUCGUG
rnacentral:rRNA from 1 species